rnacentral:rRNA from 1 species
UACGUAGGUGGCAAGCGUUGUCCGGAUUUAUUGGGUUUAAAGGGUGCGUAGGCGGUUUCAUAAGUCAGUGGUGAAAUACGGCAGCUCAACUGGCGAGGUGCCAUUGAUACUGUGAGACUUGAGUACAGACGAGGUAGGCGGAAUUGACGGUGUAGCGGUGAAAUGCUUAGAUAUCGUCAAGAACACCGAUAGCGAAGGCAGCUUACUAGGCUGUAACUGACGCUGAGGCACGAAAGUGUGGGGAUCAAACAGG